UCCUGCCGGACCUGACUGCUAUCGGAUUGAUACUAAGCCAUGCGAGUCUUUGCAGUAAUGCAAGGCAUACGGCUCAGUAACACGUAGUCAACCUACCCUAUGGACGAGAAUAAUCUCGGGAAACUGAGCAUAAUUCUUGAUAGAUCAUAAUGCCUGGAAUGGUUUAUGGUUAAAAUGAUUCGUCGCCAUAGGAUGGGACUGCGGCCUAUCAGCUUGUUGGUGAGGUAAUGGCCCACCAAGGCGAUUACAGGUACGGGCUCUGAGAGGAGAAGCCCGGAGAUGGGUACUGAGACACGGACCCAGGCCCUAUGGGGCGCAGCAGGCGAGAAAACUUUGCAAUGUGCGAAAGCACGACAAGGUUAAUCCGAGUGAUUUCUGCUAAAGAAAUCUUUUGCCAGUCGUAAAACCGCUGGUGAAUAAGGGGUGGGCAAGUUCUGGUGUCAGCCGCCGCGGUAAAACCAGCACCUCAAGUGGUCAGGAUGAUUAUUGGGCCUAAAGCAUCCGUAGCCGGCUUUGUAAGUUUUCGGUUAAAUCCAUGUGCUCAACGCAUGGGCUGCCGAAAAUACUGCAUAGCUAGGGAGUGGGAGAGGUAGACGGUACUCAGUAGGUAGGGGUAAAAUCCUUUGAUCUAUUGAUGACCACCUGUGGCGAAGGCGGUCUACCAGAACACGUUCGACGGUGAGGGAUGAAAGCUGGGGGAGCAAACCGGAUUAGAUACCCGGGUAGUCCCAGCUGUAAACGAUGCAGACUAGAUGAUGCAUUGGCAUAAUAGCCAUUGCAGUGUCUCAGGGAAGCCGUUAAGUCUGCCGCCUGGGAAGUACGUACGCAAGUAUGAAACUUA
rnacentral:rRNA from 1 species